rnacentral:lncRNA from 1 species
GGGGUUGGUAUCCCGCUGGCAUCCUCAAUGCAUCGAUCCGCUUAGUGUACGGCUUUGAGUACAUGGGUGAGACUUGAGAUGGUCCGCCAUAUUGCGCUUUCAUAGUAUUGGCAAUCAUCUCUUGCAAUUGUUGAACAGAUAGCGUGGCAACAGACAUCGAAGAAUGAGUGGCGCCUUGCACGAAGUCCGGCUUGGGAUGUGCUUCUUCCACUUGCUUUGCUUUCUCGUCACGAAGCGGGUA